rnacentral:rRNA from 1 species
AGUGAACGCUGGCGGUAGGCCUAACACAUGCAAGUCGAACGGCAGCACAGUAAGAGCUUGCUCUUACGGGUGGCGAGUGGCGGACGGGUGAGGAAUACAUCGGAAUCUACUUUUUCGUGGGGGAUAACGUAGGGAAACUUACGCUAAUACCGCAUACGACCUACGGGUGAAAGCAGGGGAUCUUCGGACCUUGCGCGACUGAAUGAGCCGAUGUCGGAUUAGCUAGUUGGCGGGGUAAAGGCCCACCAAGGCGACGAUCCGUAGCUGGUCUGAGAGGAUGAUCAGCCACACUGGAACUGAGACACGGUCCAGACUCCUACGGGAGGCAGCAGUGGGGAAUAUUGGACAAUGGGCGCAAGCCUGAUCCAGCCAUACCGCGUGGGUGAAGAAGGCCUUCGGGUUGUAAAGCCCUUUUGUUGGGAAAGAAAAGCAGCAGGUUAAAACCCCGCUGUUCUGACGGUACCCAAAGAAUAAGCACCGGCUAACUUCGUG